CUAUACAUGACUCUGCGCAUAUCAAUAAGCGGAGGAAAAGAAACUAACAAGGAUUCCCCUAGUAACGGCGAGUGAAGCGGGAAGAGCUCAAAUUUGAAAUCUUCAAGGUUUUACCUUGACGAAUUGUAGUUUAAAGAAGUGUUUUCUGCUGAAGUUUUGGUAAAAGUUCUUUGGAAUAGGACAUCAUAGAGGGUGAGAAUCCCGUAUUUGACCUUUACUUUCAACUUUGUGAUACACUUUCAAAGAGUCGGAUUGUUUGGGAAUGCAGUCCAAAAUGGGCGGUAAAUUUCAUCUAAAGCUAAAUAUUGGCGAGAGACCGAUAGCGAACAAGUACCGGGAGGGAAAGAUGAAAAGAACUUUGAAAAGAGAGUUAAACAGUACGUGAAAUUGUCAAAAGGGAAGCGUUUGACACCAGUGUUGUUUUUCUGAAAAUCAAUUAAAGAACUGUUUAUGCUAAGCUGUUUAGACUUUAUCAGCUAUCUGUUUAGUUUUGAGCUUUUCUUUAAUGCACUUUUCAGUUAACAAUUCAACAUCAAUUUCUUUUGCUGUAAAAAAGCUUGAGGAAGGUGGCUUGAGAUUCGUCUUAAGUGUUUAUAGCCUCUUGCCUAUGCAGUCGGAGAGAUUGAGGUCUGCAGCGUAGAUCCUUCGGGGCUAAAUGCAUUUGUGCUAAGUUAUAGCAUUUUAUAGACAACUUGUUGACUAUGAUUUGUCUUGUAGCUUACUCGCUUAUGUUAUUUUACCUACGCUUAGGAUGUUGACAGCAGUAUAGACUGU
rnacentral:rRNA from 1 species